ensembl:lncRNA
AAUGAUUUCAAGUAUGUAUGUUGGCGGCAGCCUCUCUGUGCUAGUGAUGGCUGUUUAACAGUCUGAUGGCCUUGAGAUAGAAGCUGUUUUUCAGUCUCUCAGACCCAGCUUUGAUGCACCUGUACUGACCUCUCCACCUGGAUGAUAGUGGGGUGAACAGGCAGUGGCUCGGGUGGUUGUUAUCCUUGAUGAUCUUUUUGGCCUUCCUGUGACAUCGGGUAGGUGUCCUGGAGGGCAGGUAGUUUGCCCCCGGUGAUGUGUUGUGCAGACCGCACCACCCUCUAGAGAGUCCUGUGGUUGAGUGCGGUGCAGUUGCCGUACCAGGCGGUGAUACAGCCCAACAGGAUGCAUCUGUAAAAGUUUGUGAGGGUUUUAGGUGACAAGCCAAAUUUCUUCAGCCUCCUGAGGUUGAAGAGGGCCUGUUGCACCUUCUUCACCACACUGUCUGUGUGGGUGGACCAAUUCAGUUUGUCUGUGAUGUGUACGCCGAUGAACUUAAAACUUUCCACCUUCUCCACUACUGUCCUGUCGAUGUGGAUAGGGGGAUGUUCCCUCUACUGUUUCCUGAAGUCCACGAUCAUCUCCUUUGUUUUGUUGACGUUGAGUCAGAGGUUAUUUUCCUGACACCUCACUCCCAGAACCCUCACCUCCUCCAUGUAGGCUGUCUCAUCGUUAUUGGAAAUCAAGCCUACUACUGUUGUUUCAAAAUAUGAAUAGAAAAGGUGUGUACAGCAGUAGUUAUAUAGGAAGAGUCUUGACUAGAAUACAGUAUACACAUAUAAAGUGGGUAAAACAGUAUGUAAACAUUAUUGAAGUGACCAGUGUUCCAUGUCUAUGUACAUUGGGCAGCAGACUCUAAGGUUCAGGGUAGAGUACCGGGUGGUAGUCGGCUAGUAACAGUGACUAAGGUUCAGGUUAGAGUACAGGGUAGUAGGAGGCUAGUAACAGUGACUAAGGUUCAGGGUAGAGUACCCGGGGGUAGUCGGCUAGUAACAGGGACUAAGGUUCAGGGUAGAGUACCGGGUGGUAGCCGACUAGUGACAGUGACUAAGGUUCAGGGUAGAGUACCGGGUGGUAGCUGGCUAGUGACAGUGACUAAGGUUCAGGGUAGAGUACCCGGUGGUAGCCGGCUAGUGACAUAACAACUUGAUUGUGAAAUGUCCUAUCAUGAGGAAAUGACUAGGUGAUACUUAGCCCCUGAACAAGGCAUUUAACACACUGUUCCUAGGCUGUCGUUCUGCCCCUGAACAAGGCAGUUAACCCACUGUUCCUAGGCUGUCGUUCUGCCCCUGAACAAGGCAGUUAACCCACUGUUCCUAGGCUGUCGUUCUGCCCCUUAACAGGCUGUUAACCCGAUGUUCCUACACCGUCAUUGAAAAUAAGAAUUUGUUGUUAACUGACUUGCCUAGUUAAAUAAAAUAUAUUCCUGCAAUUUGCAGUCUAUAUUUACUAUAUUUUUAGUGUAGCUUAACUUUUUGUAGUGUGAAGUUAUUGGUAGUUUGGUAAACUAUGAUUUCAGAGUAAUACUGUGGGUUUGGUAAUACUGUGGGUUUGGUAAUACUGUGGGAUUGGUAAUACUGUGGGUUUGGUAAUACUGUGGGUUUGGCAGGAGAAGACAAAACAAAGCAAGAAAGAGAAGAAGAGAAGUAAAGAAGAAGAGAAGUAAAGAAGAAGAGAAGUAAAGAAGAAGAGAAGUAAAGAAGAAGAGAAGUAAAGAAGAGAAAGAAGUAAAGAGUGUGUGUUGGAUUUUGAUGUUUUAUUUGAUAUAUUUAUUCGUUUUCUUGCAUGUCUCAUGGAUGGGAGGAAGGGAAAGAGGGGAAUGUUUUUCUGUCACCAGCAGAGUUGAGUGAAGUAGAGUCAUAUUUUUUUAUAAUGGGAACACAACUUUGUGUGUAUUCCAAUCCUUGUCAGUGCAUUGCCAGAGUUGCCCCAUUCCAUUUGAGUGCUGGCUCUAAUUCUGGUUAUUGCAUUGAGGACCACACAGCAGCUUUGAAAUAGGAUAACAGGUUAUGUAUAUAUAACCUGAAAAGACUGCAGAUACCUAUCUGACUCCCAAACAGCCCAAAGUUAGUUACAAUUAUGCAUAUUGUUUUAAAACCUUGAAUUCCUAUUUUAUUUACUCCUAAAAUGCUCCUAUAACAAGAGUUUAUAUUCACUGUUCACGUGUAGAGACAAAACUAUUUGGGAUAAAACUGAUGACAUGUUAUAUCUCAUAAAACACACUGGCAGACACUUAAAAAAUAAAUAAUUUUAAAUAUGCAGAAAGCGUUUAUAUUUUCUAUAUCACUGUAAUUAUCAACCGUUUGUGUUUUUUCCUCACUCCAAAUCGUGCAAUUUACUGAGAUUUAUGUGUUAAUAAAAACCAAUGCAAUAAAACUA